UUUGAUUUUUGGGAUGAAGGUUGACCACUGUCUCAUGGUCAACCUGAUCUUUUCUUGGAAUUUUAUUUCAUAUUUUCAAUUUAUUUUGGAUUUAUUUUUGACCUAGUUUGGUUGGUUGACUUUUAAUUUGACUUCUGUUUUAUUUUAAUUAAUUCACGUACCAAUUUUAAUUAUUUUUAAAAUCUUUUUGGGGGAUGAUG
rnacentral:lncRNA from 1 species